GUCAAACACCAGAGGUAGCGAUGGCUGUGGCAGCUGCGGUUUCCUGACUCCGCGCCUGCGCAGAAAGCCCUUUGAGGGAGUGCGGUGGUGACUUACUAGGGCUCCGCACUUCUCAGCCAGACAGAGUUUGAAAAGUAACCUUGAGAGAGUCCCUCCCUUGAUUCCAGGGAAAGUUACUAGAGGAUGUGCUCCAACAAAACAUGAGAGCAAGACAAGAAAGAGAAAGACAUGGGAUCCAGAAAAAAGGAACAGGAGAAUGUGAAGGGAAAUGCCAGGGUGAAAGAUAAGUGGCAGAAUUAGAGAACAGUCGUUUUCACUGGAGAAGGAAGAUGGUAGACUCCAAGAAGAAAGACUGGUUUUUGUGUGGACCUAAGUUUUCAGCUCCUUUGGGUAAAUAUCAAGAAAAGAAAUGGCUGGAUCGUAUGAGCACAGGCUCCGGACGCGCAGGCCCAGUGGCCAUGGCUCAUGGGCCUAUCCACUCCAUGGCAUGUGAGAUCUUCCUGAACCGGGGCACGAACCCGUGUCCCCUGCAUUGGCAGGCGGAUUCUCAACAACUGCACCACAAGGGAAGCCCUAAACCUAUACUUCUAAGAUGAAACAAAUGAUAUCACCUAUAUCUUUGCUGGUUCAGAAAUCCCAGACUGAGGGCCAUAGUGCUCAAUCAGGAAUCAAGAUGCAAUACUGAUGGCAACAUCAUCCUCAAGAACAAAGGAUGAAGCUAGAGGUGUACCUAAUGCCUCAGCAGGAAAUUUACAGUUAAGAGGACGAGUUCUGAUCUGAUCUGAACCCAAAGAAUUCAAACUGGAGAAUGAGGUUUCUAUACCACAUAUACUAUACAACUGGCCCUUUGGAUCAGCGGGUUCUACAUCCAUGAUUUCAACUAACUAUGGAUCACAGAUAUUCUUUAAAAAAAUUCCAGAAAGUUCCAAAAGCAAAAUUUGAAUUUUCCACAUGCAACUACUUACACAGCAUUACAUUAUAUUGAGUAUUGUAAGUAAUCUAGAGAUGAUCUGUAUGUGUGUUUUAUUUACUAUUUCUGCAGGUAUUUAGGGCAUAAAUGUAUGAUCUUACUCUAAGAGAAUAUAGACCGAUGAUGCGUAGUACAAUGUGGGAUUAAAAUGUCUCUUUUAGCACAUCCAACUGAAAUGUAGUAGCUUUGUUUCUUGGAGAUUUGGUUUGAAGUUUCUUUGUCAGAAAUAUUCAACACAGUGGUCUCUGGAGUGGAAAGGAACUAGCUUUUCAGAGAUAUGAAGCUGGGUAUAUUAUUUCCUCCUCACACAAAUCAGAAACUGGGUAAAUUCACAUGAAAUUUAUUUCCACUUAGUCCUGACUUUAACACAUUUAGAGUUAACUUACCUCUAAGUUAACAUUUUUUAACUUAGGUUUUUUUUUAAUGAAAUGUUUGCAGAUGUUUUUCACAUUUGUUUCUUGGUCCCUUUGCAAGCUCAGCAGCUGUGCACUUGCAAGCUAAGCCUUGUUUGCCUGAAUGUGCUGAGGGGUGUAGGGGCAGAACCAGCUCUAACAAGUCUAAUCUCCAGUAGGAGUGUUUUGGGGAACUUGAUACCUGAUGUUGCCAUGGUGGCAUUAGCUCAUCUCCAUAUCAUCCAUCUGACUUCCAUUUUUCUAUCGCACUCUCUGGACACAUUAGGCCACAUUUCUACCACCCCUUUCCUAUUAUUCCCUUUUAUGACUCCUCUGAGGUCUGGGCAUGGUCUCAAAUGGAAGUUUGGUAAAACCAGAUGUGAACCUUGUAAGAUGGAUUGGUGGUCUCUGGAAUGAUCAGUUUACAGUGUCAAGCUCUUCCGAAUUGAAAGCCAAAGCAAAUCUUAUGAAAUAGAGAAGAAAAAUUACUUCAUAUUUUCCAGCUCAGUUCUAGUUCAUUUCAUGAGCAACAGCAAAGACAAUCUACUUUACAAAGAUAAAAGCCUGCAUUUCCCAAAGAUUGUCUUUAUCAAAGAAAAUAGAAAAAAAUGUGAGAUAUGCUUUAUAGUAGAUAUGACCAAGGCAUUGAAAAAUAAUGAGUGAAGUUAGUAUUGCUGAUAAAUAAAAACACUGUUAAAAGUUUAGAUUGCAAAAUAGAUAAUAAUGUUGUUUGUAAUAAAUGAUAUGCCAGGUAACACUAAAUACUUUUCUUUACUGCCUGUUGAACUUCACCCUUCAAUGAUGAACUCAAAUGUUACUUAUAAUAUGAAGGCUUCCACUAUCCCCAGGUCAAAUUAUUUACUACCUCAUCUGUGUUCGUAGCACUACUAUAGUUUUUUUAUCAGUGAGUGUAUCAUUGUGGUAUCUUUAUUUUAUUUACUUGUUUAUUUAUGCAUUUAUUUAAUAGAGUGCAGUGGUUAAGGACAUGGACUCUGGAGUUAGACUGCCUGGAUUGUAGUUCUGGUCCUGCCACCCUCCAGCUGUGUGACUUUGUGCAAUUACUUAAUGUGUUCUGUACCUAAGUUUCCUCACUUGUGAAAUGGACAGGAUAAGAGUACCUACUUCCUAGAGUACGAUGAGAAAUGUAGGAGUGAAUAUCCAUAAGGACUAAGUGCCUGAUGCUAAAUAUGUAUUAUUUAACAUCCAUAUGAAAUAUUGGUAUAUGCCAGAAUCUAUACCAGGGCCUGAGUCUGCACAUAUGGAAGAACCUCUAUUCUCAAAGAAUGUUUAUGUUGGUGAUCUAGACGCUGAACAAUUCAAAAUCAGUGAAUUCAUUUAUUCUAUGCAUAUUCACUGAUCAACUUUUAUAUGCCUGGCACUGUUCUAGAUGGUAGGAACACAACAGUGAACUAGACAAAAUUCCCUCACUGAGUUUCCAUUCUGGUACAUGUUAAGUCUAUGAUGCAGGUAUGCAAAAUAUGUGGGAAGAUAGAGAUGGGACCUCUAACUCAGCCUGGGGUGGGGAUAAGAAUGAGGGAAAGCCUCCUGGAUGAAACAGUUUAGCCAGGCAGAGAAGAGAUUGAGGGGCUUGAGUUAGACAAAGAAGCAGUAAUGAGGUCACUGAUAUUUACCUCCUUAAAGCAAAAACUGCUGUCUCAUGAAGUUGCGAAUUUCCUCUGUACAGAGGGAAUGACACUUCCUUUCAAUUUAGAGAAUACACCAGUGAUUAUUUCAACAAUUUCUUGAAGUGGGGCUUUUCUGUUGAUAUGAAUAUCUUGGGUGUAGAUUCCCAUGCUGUAGAUCAUCUUCUUUUCAAGGAACUUGUGCUCUGUCUUUACUAUAUUUUGCAUGAUGUAGCCUUAUUGUAACGAUGGAAAUAUAGCUGAAAUAGCAUAGAAAUUAGGUCCAGAUGAUUUGGAUUCAAACUUCAACUCUGUCACUUGCUGGCUGGCUGGCUUUGUACUUCUUUGAGGCUCAGUUUAUCUGUCUGUUGGGGCAUUAAUACUGAGGUAUACCUAACAGAGCUGUGGUAAGGAUUAUAUUUAAAAAUUUGUAAAAAGUGCUUUAUAAGUUGCAAAUGCCAUAUGGUGUAUUAUUAAUUAUAUUCCUGAAGAACACACUGUUUUCAGUAACUGACAAAAGGUUCAGUGAGAAAAUAGCAUAAGGGUAUUUUUAUCAACAAUUUAUACCUCACAAUUAGAAUGAACAUGCAUUUACAACAGCUAUGUGAUUACUUACCAGGUGCUGAGCUCUUUCUAUACAAUCCCGUCUUGUCAGUAUUACUACCAGAGGAGAGUAAUAUGCUCAAAGCUACAUAGUGAGUAAGUGGGAGAAACAGGUGUCAAACUUGUUUAUUUGACCUCAUCUCAUGAAUUUCUUUUCAUACUGUAACCAUGCCUCUUCAGGAGUCUUGCAGGAUCUGCUAUAUCCUGGUGAAUCUUGCUGAAUCCUGAAUAUGUAAAACCUCUGAGCUUUAUUGUUGUGCCAUGUAAUCCUUAAAAAGUGAGUUUCACAGUCCUUCAACCUCAGAGUUCUUUACUGGAUUUUCAAAACAGUGAAGGGGCCAGGGUGGGGAAGAUUAAAAAUAUGAUAGUAACACUUAAAAAAAUUAUUUCUUCUGUAUUUCCCUUAUGUUACAAACUCCCAUUCCUCUUCUCUUCCCACAUUCUCUGAGAAAUUUCCUCCACCUUUAAUUCUAUGAAUCCAGUUUCCUUCUGUCCCUCCUUGUUUCUAUCCAGUUUUACAUGCAAAGCCAGAAAGAGUUGAUCUUGGGAGAAAAGGGGUGGGGAGCAACAGAGAUAGAAUGGACCAUUCCAGAAAUCUUUUUAGCUAGCUGAAAAAGGAGAAAACCUAAACGCUCAUACAUUAAUUUUUUUCUUGUCAAAAAUUAAUAUUAGGUAACAUGAACUGUUAUGACAUUGCAUAGACCUCAUUUUAAUGGAAUGAAUUGAAUAACAUAAUAACUGGUAAAAUUUCAGCCACAUCCUGAAUUUGUCAGCAGAGCACUUGUAUCCCUUUUUGCAGUCUGAGAAGGACAGGUAAGUCUGAGUUCACCUGAAACCUAUAUUUUCUAAAUUCUGCUGACCCUCUGGUAAGAUACCAUUGACUUUAUGUCAUGGUCAGCAUUUAUAUUUGAAGUUAGCCUUUCAAAGUGCAGUGUGCAGCGACAUAAUCUCCCUGUAGGCCUUUACUGUCAGAAUUGCAGAGUUCUAAUUUAUUUUACUAAAACAACAGAAUUAUUAAGCUGAUUAGCUCCAUGUGUAUGUUAUUUCCACUAUGAUUAUCAAGUUGACCCACAAUUAUGUCUUUUAAAAAACUCCCUGAAGAGCAGUGUGGAAGCAAGUUGUGCUACUCUGGAAAGUAAUAAACAUUGUCAUUGCCCUUUUCAUAUUGCUGAUCAUAUUUGUAAAAUUUAAUGUCUAUACAAUAAAAAUGU